UACGAAGGGGGCUAGCGUUGUUCGGAAUCACUGGGCGUAAAGGGCGCGUAGGCGGCUUUAUAAGUCGGGGGUGAAAGCCUGUGGCUCAACCACAGAAUUGCCUUCGAUACUGUAGAGCUUGAGACCGGAAGAGGUAAGUGGAACUGCGAGUGUAGAGGUGAAAUUCGUAGAUAUUCGCAAGAACACCAGUGGCGAAGGCGGCUCACUGGCCCGGUACUGACGCUGAGGUGCGAAAGCGUGGGGAGCGAACAGG
rnacentral:rRNA from 1 species